GAGUAGCAUCCUGCUGACCAUAGAGAAAAAUCAAGGGGAUCAAUGGAUUCCUCCUCCUGCUGCUGUGGCCGUUAUGGUUGGAAUCAUUUUGUUGGGAGGCACAGCUGCCUUUUUGUUCAUGCGUUUCAUGAAACAAUAAAGGACCAUUUACCAAGGACUUCAGCCGAGAUGUCCUGACCUUCCUCCUCCCUCCUAUAUUUUAG